GACGAACGCUGGCGGCGUGCCUAAUACAUGCAAGUGGGACGCAAGGGAACACACUGUGCUUGCACACCGUGUUUUCUUGAGUCGCGAACGGGUGAGUAACGCGUAGGUAACCUGCCUAUUAGCGGGGGAUAACUAUUGGAAACGAUAGCUAAUACCGCAUAAUAUUAAUUAUUGCAUGAUAAUUGAUUGAAAGAUGCAAGCGCAUCACUAGUAGAUGGACCUGCGUUGUAUUAGCUAGUUGGUAAGGUAAGAGCUUACCAAGGCGACGAUACAUAGCCGACCUGAGAGGGUGAUCGGCCACACUGGGACUGAGACACGGCCCAGACUCCUACGGGAGGCAGCAGUAGGGAAUCUUCGGCAAUGGACGAAAGUCUGACCGAGCAACGCCCGCGUGAGUGAAAGAAAGGUUUUUCGGGAUCGUAAAAGCUUCUGUUGUAAAGUCAAAGAAACGUGUG
rnacentral:rRNA from 1 species